rnacentral:rRNA from 1 species
GAUGAACGCUGGCGGCGUGCCUAAUACAUGCAAGUCGAGCGAACGGACGAGAAGCUUGCUUCUCUGAUGUUAGCGGCGGACGGGUGAGUAACACGUGGAUAACCUACCUAUAAGACUGGGAUAACUUCGGGAAACCGGAGCUAAUACCGGAUAAUAUUUUGAACCGCAUGGUUCAAAAGUGAAAGACGGUCUUGCUGUCACUUAUAGAUGGAUCCGCGCUGCAUUAGCUAGUUGGUAAGGUAACGGCUUACCAAGGCAACGAUGCAUAGCCGACCUGAGAGGGUGAUCGGCCACACUGGAACUGAGACACGGUCCAGACUCCUACGGGAGGCAGCAGUAGGGAAUCUUCCGCAAUGGGCGAAAGCCUGACGGAGCAACGCCGCGUGAGUGAUGAAGGUCUUCGGAUCGUAAAACUCUGUUAUUAGGGAAGAACAUAUGUGUAAGUAACUGUGCACAUCUUGACGGUACCUAAUCAGAAAGCCACGGCUAACUACGUGCCAGCAGCCGCGGUAAUACGUAGGUGGCAAGCGUUAUCCGGAAUUAUUGGGCGUAAAGCGCGCGUAGGCGGUUUUUUAAGUCUGAUGUGAAAGCCCACGGCUCAACCGUGGAGGGUCAUUGGAAACUGGAAAACUUGAGUGCAGAAGAGGAAAGUGGAAUUCCAUGUGUAGCGGUGAAAUGCGCAGAGAUAUGGAGGAACACCAGUGGCGAAGGCGACUUUCUGGUCUGUAACUGACGCUGAUGUGCGAAAGCGUGGGGAUCAAACAGGAUUAGAUACCCUGGUAGUCCACGCCGUAAACGAUGAGUGCUAAGUGUUAGGGGGUUUCCGCCCCUUAGUGCUGCAGCUAACGCAUUAAGCACUCCGCCUGGGGAGUACGACCGCAAGGUUGAAACUCAAAGGAAUUGACGGGGACCCGCACAAGCGGUGGAGCAUGUGGUUUAAUUCGAAGCAACGCGAAGAACCUUACCAAAUCUUGACAUCCUUUGACAACUCUAGAGAUAGAGCCUUCCCCUUCGGGGGACAAAGUGACAGGUGGUGCAUGGUUGUCGUCAGCUCGUGUCGUGAGAUGUUGGGUUAAGUCCCGCAACGAGCGCAACCCUUAAGCUUAGUUGCCAUCAUUAAGUUGGGCACUCUAAGUUGACUGCCGGUGACAAACCGGAGGAAGGUGGGGAUGACGUCAAAUCAUCAUGCCCCUUAUGAUUUGGGCUACACACGUGCUACAAUGGACAAUACAAAGGGCAGCGAAACCGCGAGGUCAAGCAAAUCCCAUAAAGUUGUUCUCAGUUCGGAUUGUAGUCUGCAACUCGACUACAUGAAGCUGGAAUCGCUAGUAAUCGUAGAUCAGCAUGCUACGGUGAAUACGUCCCCGGGUCU